rnacentral:rRNA from 1 species
CCUACGGGUGGCAGCAGUGGGGAAUAUUGGACAAUGGGGGGAACCCUGAUCCAGCCAUGCCGCGUGUGUGAAGAAGGCCCUCGGGUUGUAAAGCACUUUCAGUGAGGAAGAACGCCUGGUGGUUAAUACCCAUCAGGAAAGACAUCACUCACAGAAGAAGCACCGGCUAACUCCGUGCCAGCAGCCGCGGUAAUACGGAGGGUGCGAGCGUUAAUCGGAAUUACUGGGCGUAAAGCGCGCGUAGGUGGCUUGAUAAGCCGGUUGUGAAAGCCCCGGGCUCAACCUGGGAACGGCAUCCGGAGCUGUCAAGCUAGAGUGCAGGAGAGGAAGGUAGAAUUCCCGGUGUAGCGGUGAAAUGCGUAGAGAUCGGGAGGAAUACCAGUGGCGAAGGCGGCCUUCUGGACUGACACUGACACUGAGGUGCGAAAGCGUGGGUAGCAAACAGGAUUAGAUACCCGAGUAGUC